rnacentral:rRNA from 1 species
CCUACGGGAGGCAGCAGUAGGGAAUCUUCCACAAUGGACGAAAGUCUGAUGGAGCAACGCCGCGUGAGCGAUGAAGGCCUUCGGGUCGUAAAGCUCUGUUGUUAGGGAAGAACAAGUAUCGGAGUAACUGCCGGUACCUUGACGGUACCUAACCAGAAAGCCACGGCUAACUACGUGCCAGCAGCCGCGGUAAUACGUAGGUGGCAAGCGUUGUCCGGAAUUAUUGGGCGUAAAGCGCGCGCAGGCGGUCCUUUAAGUCUGAUGUGAAAGCCCACGGCUCAACCGUGGAGGGUCAUUGGAAACUGGGGGACUUGAGUACAGAAGAGGAAAGCGGAAUUCCACGUGUAGCGGUGAAAUGCGUAGAGAUGUGGAGGAACACCAGUGGCGAAGGCGGCUUUCUGGUCUGUAACUGACGCUGAGGCGCGAAAGCGUGGGGAGCAAACAGGAUUAGAUACCCUGGUAGUCCACGCCGUAAACGAUGAGUGCUAAGUGUUAGGGGGUUUCCGCCCCUUAGUGCUGCAGCUACGCAUAGACACUCCGCCGUCGGGAGGUACGGCCGGCCGACGGCGNGAACGUACAAUAGAGUUAGUACGGCGUGAGACGUGCCGACGGACGACGACGAGGGAGGAGGG